rnacentral:rRNA from 1 species
UACGUAGGUGGCUAGCGUUGUCCGGAAUUAUUGGGCGUAAAGCGCGCGCAGGCGGUCGUUCAAGUCGAGUGUGAAGGCCCCCGGCUCAACUGGGGAGGGUCACUCGAUACUGAUCGACUCGAAGGCAGAAGAGGGAAGCGGAAUUCCCGGUGUAGUGGUGAAAUGCGUAGAUAUCGGGAGGAACACCAGUGGCGAAGGCGGCUUUCUGGUCUGCUCUUGACGCUGAGGCGCGAAAGCUAGGGUAGCAAACGGG